CUCCCACAUCAAUUUGAAGAAUUCCUUUCUAGUAUUUCUUACCCAAUAUUAAAAUGAAACAUCUCUUCACCAUGCUGCUAUUUUGUUCCCUUCUUCUAUGCUCCUCUUUCUUAGAGCUAUCCAUUGCAUAUGAAGAUUCAUACCGAAUUCGCUUGUUCAACCGGUUGAAUCAAGAACCAACUUGUUAAACCUUUGGUUUGAUUUUGAUGAUUACAUUCUACUUUGUUUAUUGCGGCAACAAGUGUUCAGAGUUCAGACAGAUGCUCUAAAGCAGGGGUUGUAGAUAGGUGUGUGAAGUACUGUAAAAUAUGCUGCCAAGAGUGCAAAUGUGUUCCUUCUGGUACUUAUGGGAACAAACACGAAUGCC